GAUGAACGCUGGCGGCGUGCUUAACACAUGCAAGUCGGACGGGCAGCGCAAGCUGUCAGUGGCAAACGGGUGCGUAACACGUAGGUGACCUGCCUGAAAGACGGGGACAACCGCUGGAAACGGCGGCUAAUACCCGAUGCGCUCUGCGGAGCAAAGCCCUAACGGCGCUUUCAGAGGGGCCUGCGGCCUAUCAGGUGGUUGGUAGGGUAACGGCCUACCAAGCCGUCGACGGGAGGGGGCGUGAGAGCGUGGCCCCCNCCACGGACGG
rnacentral:rRNA from 1 species